ACUGAGGGUGCAAGCGUUAAUCGGAAUUACUGGGCGUAAAGCGAGUGUAGGCGGCUACGUAAGUCGGUUGUGAAAGCCCUGGGCUUAACCUGGGAACUGCAUCCGAUACUGCGUAGCUAGAGUCUGAUAGAGGGAAGUGGAAUUCCGGGUGUAGCGGUGAAAUGCGUAGAUAUCCGGAGGAACACCAGUGGCGAAGGCGGCUUCCUGGAUCAAGACUGACGCUGAUGCUCGAAAGCGUGGGGAGCAAACAGG
rnacentral:rRNA from 1 species